rnacentral:lncRNA from 10 species
GUUAAAAAUCAACCCCUGACUUAACUGCUUGUGUUAUCUAUAGAUUCCAGACAUUGUAUGGAAAAGCAUCGUGAAAAUCCGUCCUGUUCUGUUCCGUUCUGAUUACCAGUGCAUGCAGCCCCCAGUCAUGUACCCACUGCUUGCUCAAUCAUUCACGACCCUCUCACGCGGACACUCUUAGAGUUGUAAGCCCUUAAAAGGGACAGGGAUUGCUUACUUGGGAGCUCAGUUUUUUGAGACGUAACUCUGCCGACGCGCCUGGCCAAAUAAAGCCCUCUCCUUCCUCAACUCGGUGUCUGUGGCUCGUCCUGCUACAAUGCAUCUACCCAUACAGAUGGUGUCCGGAAUUUCAAAUAAUACUGAGUUAUGGGAAUUGCCACAGAAUGUAAACACCAUGAGAACACAGGCUUUGUCUGCCACAUUUAUUGCUGCAUUUGCAGCAUGUAGAAUGGUGACUGACAUAUAAGAAGUACCAAUUAAACAUUUGUGGAUGAGUCAAUGAAGAAACUGUAAGUAGUUGGAUGUUUUUAUAGCUGAAAAUUAUGAAAGUGGGUAUGUUGUAUGUUAUACGGGCAAUUAAAUAGUGUUAGAAGUCUUUUGAUUGCAAUCAUCAUUCCAGUGAUGGUCGAAUAACAUGGAAUACCAUAAUCAGGAAUUAUCACCUUAAAGAUUGAUUACUUAACAUUGAUCAUGUGGCUGGGCAAGGUGGCUCAUGCCUGUAAUUCCGGUGCUUUUGGAAAGCUAAGGCAAGAGAAUGGCUUGAGGCUAGGAGUUCGAGACCAGCCUAGGCAACAUAGUGAGACUCUGUCUCUGUCAAAAAAUUAAAACAAAUUAGCUGGGAAUGGUGGUGUGUGCCUGUGUCUCAGCUGCUCAGGAGGCUGAGGCAGGAGGUUCGCUUGAGCCCAGGAGUUCAAGGCUACAGUGAUCUACGACCACAUGACUGCACUCCAGCCUGGGUGACAAAGUGAGAUACUGUAUCUAAAAAAUAAAUAAGUACAUAAAAAUAACUUAAAAAUAAAUAAAAGCAUGUUAUUUAAUGGGUGUAUAAUAUUCUACCUUAUGCAUCUAUCUUAACACUUCCAUUAUUGGAUAUUUGCAGUGUUUUUCAUUUCUGCAAUUAAAAACAAUAUUCUGGAGAAUAUCAAUAUCAAUUAAUAAUAAUAAUACUGUCGAAUAAUUGCUUUCAGUACCUUAAGCUAUGAAAUAAGCAAAAUAAGGAUUGUAGUAGCUAUGGCAUACCAAGUAAGUACUAUAAAACUCAGUUCUUUGGAUGCCAUCUAAAUGAGUUUACACAAAGUAGAGCUAGAAAGUCUGGGUCACUGAUUGACACCAUGGCAAGAAGGAUGUCUUCUUAUAUUUAAAUGUAAGGUUGAAUAGGUUGAAAAUGCCACUUUCAGCAAAGGUGGGAAGAUCGCUUGUGCCCAGGAGUUUGAGGUUAUAGUGAGCUAUGAUCUCGCCACUGCAUUCUAGCCUGGGUUGAGAGAGUAAGACCUUGUCUCUUAAAAAAAAACAAAAAAACGGCCGGGCACAGUGGCUCACGCCUG